rnacentral:rRNA from 1 species
UACGUAGGCAGCAAGCGUUGUUCGGAAUUACUGGGCGUAAAGAGCUCGUAGGCGGUCUGUCGCGUCGGCUGUGAAAACCCGGGGCUCAACCCCGGGCCUGCAGUCGAUACGGGCAGACUAGAGUGCGGUAGGGGAGACUGGAAUUCCUGGUGUAGCGGUGAAAUGCGCAGAUAUCAGGAGGAACACCGGUGGCGAAGGCGGGUCUCUGGGCCGUAACUGACGCUGAGGAGCGAAAGCGUGGGGAGCGAACAGG